rnacentral:rRNA from 1 species
UACGAAGGGGGCUAGCGUUGCUCGGAAUUACUGGGCGUAAAGGGCGCGUAGGCGGCACUGUUAGUCAGGCGUGAAAUUCCUGGGCUCAACCUGGGGACUGCGCUUGAUACGGCAGAGCUAGAGGAUGGAAGAGGCUCGCGGAAUUCCCAGUGUAGAGGUGAAAUUCGUAGAUAUUGGGAAGAACACCGGUGGCGAAGGCGGCGAGCUGGUCCAUUACUGACGCUGAGGAGCGAAAGCGUGGGGAGCGAACAGG